GCACAGCCCCGCAAGGGGUGGGUGGCGAGUGGCGGACGGGUGAGGAAUACGUCGGAAUCUGCCUAUUUGUGGGGGAUAACGUAGGGAAACUUACGCUAAUACCGCAUACGACCUACGGGUGAAAGCGGAGGACCUUCGGGCUCCGCGCAGAUAGAUGAGCCGACGUCGGAUUAGCUAGUUGGCGGGGUAAAGGCCCACCAAGGCGACGAUCCGUAGCUGGUCUGAGAGGAUGAUCAGCCACACUGGAACUGAGACACGGUCCAGACUCCUACGGGAGGCAGCACCUGGGAAUAUUGGACAAUGGGCGCAAGCCUGAUCCAGCCAUGCCGCGUGUGUGAAGAAGGCCUUCGGGUUGUAAAGCACUUUUGUCCGGAAAGAAAAGCCUUGGGUUAAUACCCCGGGGUCAUGACGGUACCGGAAGAAUAAGCACCGGCUAACUUCGUGCCAGCAGCCGCGGUAAUACGAAGGGUGCAAGCGUUACUCGGAAUUACUGGGCGUAAAGCGUGCGUAGGUGGUUCGUUAAGUCUGAUGUGAAAGCCCUGGGCUCAACCUGGGAAUGGCAUUGGAUACUGGCGAUCUAGAGUGCGGUAGAGGGGUGUGGAAUUCCCGGUGUAGCAGUGAAAUGCGUAGAUAUCGGGAGGAACAUCUGUGGCGAAGGCGACACCCUGGACCAGCACUGACACUGAGGCACGAAAGCGUGGGGAGCAAACAGGAUUAGAUACCCUGGUAGUCCACGCCCUAAACGAUGCGAACUGGAUGUUGGGGGCAACUUGGCCCUCAGUUUCGAAGCUAACGCGUUAAGUUCGCCGCCUGGGAAGUACGGUCGC
rnacentral:rRNA from 1 species